GUGGUGUGAUUACCAGCAAUUUCUUUCCCAAUACAUUUCUGGAUCAGUUUCUUUUUAAACAGUGACUGUGCAACUUUACUUUAGAAAAAAAAUUUAAUGUGGGUGACUCCAGGCUGGAAACAAUAAUCAUUUGAUCAUUAUAGUGAGUCAUUAACGAACUCAUGAAUUAAUGCAGCCUUGAUUCCUACAACACUGAUUAAGCAUUGCCAUGUGAACAGCAUUGUGCUAGGCCCCAAGGCAAUGAACAGGAUAGCAGGACAAGCCUUCACGCCUCGGUGAUCUCUGUUGAGAGUCAGUGUGAGUACACCCAGCGGCCUCUCUUAUCCAUGGGCAGCCCCUGCCAAGAAAAAAAUCUGGGCAUACCCGUGGUAGUGGGGUGUCGGGCUCAUUCCUUAGAGGUGUGACAACUAGAGGAAGGUGCCAUGAUUUAACAUACGGUAAAGCUGAAUCCACACGACCAUGGUCCAUGACGUAAAAGUGUCAGAGAAUCCAGACUAGAGGGCUUUUGGAGCUGGGAGCUUUAUAAACAUCCCUUGUGACUCAACUGGCAGAGAUCCCACUAACUCAGGAACUCCUGUCCACCUCCUCUUCUGUCACUGACUCUGCAAUGAAAUGGCCUUGCUUCAUUCUAGAGAUCAAAAGAGUUUGGUGUUUCCUACGUAUUUGUUUUCCCCUUUCUUGCGUGAGAAGCUGGUGAGUGCGAAUUUAUAUAUUUUGCUUUGCUGGGUCCCCCGGGGCUUGCUAUCAAAGAGCACACAUUCAUGCCACAUGUGAUUUAGAAUCCCACACGUGGAGGAACUCUAAAAUUAGUUGUUCUGUGUGCUUACAAAAUUAAUCUUAUUAUCUCGUAGCUGUAUGUUAAAUGUUAGAUAACACUUUUAUCUGUAU